CGGCGCGCUUAAUGCAUGCAAGUCGAGCGAUGAGGUCUCCUUCGGGAGAUACAUCAGCGGCAGACGGGUGAGUAACACGUAGGUGACCUGCCCUAAAGAUGGGGACAACGGAUGGAAACAUGCGCUAAUACCCAAUGGACCUGUGAUGUCAGAGUCAUAGGUAAAGCUUCGGCGCUUUAGGAGGGGCCUGCGGCCCAUCAGCUAGUUGGUAGGGUAACGGUCUACCAAGGCGAAGACGGGUAGGGGGUGUGAGAGCAUGACCCCCCACAAUGGGACUGAGACACGGCCCAUACUCCUACGGGAGGCAGCAGCAGGGAAUAUUGCACAAUGGACGGAAGUCUGAUGCAGCGACGCCGCGUGGAUGACGAAGGCCUUCGGGUUGUCAAAUCCUUUUCAGGGGGACGAGAACGGACGGUACCCUUGGAAUAAGCGUCGGCUAACUACGUGCCAGCAGACGCGGUAAGACGUAGGACGCAAGCGUUAUCCGGAUUUACUGGGCGUAAAGCGUCUGUAGGCGGUUGAGUAAGUUGGGCGUGAAAGCUCCGGGCUUAACCCGGAGAGGUCGUUCAAUACUGCUUACCUAGAGGACAUCAGAGGAGCAUGGAAUUUCCGGUGUAGCGGUUAAAUGCGCAGAUAUCGGAAAGAACACCAGUGGCGAAGGCGGUGCUCUGGGAUGGGCCUGACGCUGAGAGACGAAAGCUAGGGGAGCGAACAGGAUUAGAGACCCUGGUAGUCCUAGCCCUAAACGAUGGAUGCUAGAUGUAGGGCCGAGAAGGCUCUGUGUCGCAGUUAACGCGGUAAGCAUCCCGCCUGGGGAUUACGGCCGCAAGGCUAAAACUCAUACGAAUUGACGGGGCCCCGCACAAGCAGCGGAGCGUGUGGUUUAAUUCGAUGCUACACGAAGAACCUUACCUGGGUUUGACAUGUACGUGGUAGUGAAGCGAAAGCGGAGCGACCCUUCGGGGAGCGUACACAGGUGCUGCAUGGCUGUCGUCAGCUCGUGCCGUGAGGUGUCGGGUUAAGUCCCGUAACGAGCGCAACCCUUGCCCUUAGUUACAAGUGUCUAAGGGGACUGCCGGCGGUAAGCCGGAGGAAGGUGGGGAUGACGUCAAGUCAGCAUGGCCCUUAUAUCCAGGGCUACACACACGCUACAAUGGUCAGUACAAAGGGCAGCGAAGCCGCGAGGUGAAGCGAAUCCCACCAAAGCUGAUCUAAGUUCGGAUUGCAGGCGUGCAACUCGCCUGCAUGAAGCUGUAGUUGCUAGUAACCGCGCGUCAACCAUAGUGCGGUGACUACGUUCCCGGGGUUUGUACACACCGCCCGUCACGUCA
rnacentral:rRNA from 1 species